rnacentral:misc_RNA from 1 species
AAGUCGUAACAAGGUUUCCGUAGGUGAACCUGCGGAAGGAUCAUUACCAAUGGUAAAAAAAAAGAAAAGGGAUUUCAACUUGUUGGAAUUCCUUUUUUUACCAUAUAUAACAAAACCCCAAUCGACGCACUUAUUGAAAGGAUUUAUGAAUUUUUUUUCAACCUUUGCCUGUAUUUUUUGUCUGACCAUUUUACUUUUAAUGAGUAAAAAAAAAUAAAAUUUAAUACAACUUUCAACAACGGAUCUCUUGGCUCUC